rnacentral:rRNA from 1 species
UACGUAGGGUGCGAGCGUUAAUCGGAAUUACUGGGCGUAAAGCGUGCGCAGGCGGUUUUGUAAGCCAGAUGUGAAAUCCCCGGGCUUAACCUGGGAAUGGCAUUUGGGACUGCAAGGCUGGAGUGUGGCAGAGGAGACUGGAAUUCCUGGUGUAGCAGUGGAAUGCGUAGAUAUCAGGAGGAAUACCGAUGGCGAAGGCAGGUCUCUGGGCUGACACUGCGCU